AUCACAAUAGACAGACAUUGGCUAAAAGAAAGAAAGUUAGUUUUGGAUGCGAGAAGGCAGAAAGGGAUGACGCGAGGAAAGCAGAAGAUCGAUGCGCAGAAGCGAAACGCUGAGAAGAAUCAAAGACGAAGGUUCUCAGCUGGAGGCCAGAGCCGUUGCCCUAAAAGUUAUCUGCCCUAUCUGCAAGGUGCAAUUAGCAAAUGAAAAACAACUCGGUGAUCAUUAUGGCUCCAACAUCCGAAGAAAAACCCUCCGACUGUGUCGAGUUGAUUGAUUUCCCAUGCAAAAGAAAAAGGAAAAGAAUAAAUUAGCUUUUCAUGUGUGAUUCUAGAUGUUGAAUGUUAAACCAAUGGAAACGACUCUAUUUGCCUUUGCCUCACUUUUUGUCAUCUCAUGUGUUGAAUUAUAUGAACGAUAAUAAAGCUGUUACCUUUCUGCC